rnacentral:rRNA from 1 species
CCUGGAAGACUCCUACGGGAUGCAGCAGUAGGGAAUCUUCGGCAAUGGACGGAAGUCUGACCGAGCCACGCCGCGUGAGUGAAGAAGGUUUUCGGAUCGUAACGCUCUGUUGUAAGAGAAGAACGAGUGUGAGAGUGGAAAGUUCACACUGUGACGGUAUCUUACCAGAAAGGGACGGCUAACUACGUGCCAGCAGCCGCGGUAAUACGUAGGUCCCGAGCGUUGUCUGGAUUUAUUGGGCGUAAAGCGAGCGCAGGCGGUUAGAUAAGUCUGAAGUUAAAGGCUGUGGCUUAACCAUAGUACGCUUUGGAAACUGUUUAACUUGAGUGCAAGAGGGGAGAGUGGAAUUCCAUGUGUAGCGGUGAAAUGCGUAGAUAUAUGGAGGAACACCGGUGGCGAAAGCGGCUCUCUGGCUUGUAACUGACGCUGAGGCUCGAAAGCGUGGGGAGCAAACAGGAUUAGAAACCCCAGUAGUCCGA